UACGUAGGUGGCAAGCGUUAUCCGGAUUUACUGGGUGUAAAGGGCGUGUAGGCGGGGACGCAAGUCAGAUGUGAAAACCACGGGCUCAACCUGUGGCCUGCAUUUGAAACUGUGUUUCUUGAGUACUGGAGAGGCAGACGGAACUCCUAGUGUAGCGGUGGAAUGCGUAGAUAUUAGGAGGAACACCAGUGGCGAAGGCGGUCUGCUGGACAGCAACUGACGCUGAGGCGCGAAAGCGUGGGGAGCAAACAGG
rnacentral:rRNA from 1 species